ACAGCUUUGGCAAAAGUCUAUAGCCAGAGCAUUCGUAAUAUCCCAUGUUUAAGAGCUGACUGUGUAUCUGGAAAGUCAUUUUAUGGUUUCUCUGUUUCCUUGACUUUCCCAGCCCUGUUCUCAGGUAUUUGCUAGCUCUCCAUUUUUACCUGCUCGGGGCUCUGUAUUUGAGGAAAAAUCUGCAACCUGUCAGCUGGUGUAGGUCUCAUAAGGGGUACAGAGAA
rnacentral:lncRNA from 1 species